rnacentral:rRNA from 1 species
UACAGAGGGUGCAAGCGUUGCUCGGAUUUACUGGGCGUAAAGCGUACGCAGACGGUUUGGAAGGUCGGACGUGAAAGCCCCGGGCUCAACCCGGGAAAUGCGUCCGAAACCACCUUACUUGAGUAUGGGAGAGGGAAGCGGAAUUCCUGGUGUAGAAGUGAAAUUCGUAGAUAUCAGGAGGAACAUCGGCGGCGAAGGCGGCUUCCUGGCCCAUUACUGACGUUCAGGUACGAAAGCGUGGGUAGCAAACAGG